rnacentral:rRNA from 1 species
AACGCGAAGAACCUUACCAGCCCUUGACAUCCCGGUCGCGGAUUCCAGAGACGGAAUCCUUCAGUUCGGCUGGACCGGAGACAGGUGCUGCAUGGCUGUCGUCAGCUCGUGUCGUGAGAUGUUGGGUUAAGUCCCGCAACGAGCGCAACCCCCGUCCUUAGUUGCUACCAUUUAGUUGAGCACUCUAAGGAGACUGCCGGUGAUAAGCCGCGAGGAAGGUGGGGAUGACGUCAAGUCCUCAUGGCCCUUACGGGCUGGGCUACACACGUGCUACAAUGGCGGUGACAAUGGGACGCUAAGGGGCAACCCUUCGCAAAUCUCAAAAAGCCGUCUCAGUUCGGAUUGGGCUCUGCAACUCGAGCCCAUGAAGUUGGAAUCGCUAGUAAUCGUGGAUCAGCAUGCCACGGUGAAUACGUUCCCGGGCCUUGUA